rnacentral:lncRNA from 1 species
CCUUAGGCUUACUGCCUUGGCUUAGGGGUCCAGGGAUCAAGCCCCUCACUGGGGUCCCUGCCCAGCCGGAAGUCUGUUUCUCCCUCUCUCUCUGCUGUUCCCCCUGCUUGUGCUCUCUUGGUCAAAUAAAUAAAAUCUUAAAAAAAAAAUGCACGUUACCUGUUAGACCAUGAAUUUUCUUAAGUGGACACUCCAAGGGAACCAGCCUCCAAAUCAAAAAAUAAAACCUAGCACACAGAACGAGGGUGUUUUUACUCCCAAAGCCAAGAGAAUAUUAAAAUGGUUUAAAUCCCUUGGCGGGGGUGGGGAGAGUUUGCAACCUUGAGCUGGUGAUAACGUGAACUCCAAAAUGCACUUUAUUUUGAGGGCAAAUUUACCGAGGACACUGUAUUCCUUCUCCCCUUCAUUUAACCACUGUGAGCGCUGCUCCGUUUGGUCUGGCUCUAGGAUUCCGAAACAGUUCCUUAAUUCACGAGCGACUUUUGAGAUCUCCCAGUUACGGCUGCUUCUUUCCAACAAGAAAAAAAAUUUUUUUUAGUUUGUUUGUUUAUUUAUUUAUUUCACACACAGAGAGGCAGAGACACAGGCAGAAGCAGAUUUUAACCAAAGUUUCAGAGCAGAAAAGUGUUGGGCACGGUCGUGCCUUUCGCGUCAGGAGGGCGCAGGAGGGCCGAGCACCCUUGGACCCCUGCAGGGUCGGUCCCCUCCGUCGGCCGCCCGGCGCCAAACGCCCCUCCGCCAAACGCCGGCCGCGCAGCCGGGGGUGCUGGGGGGUCACCCCCACCUCGGGAGCGCUUGGGGGGAGUCUACCCCCACCUCGGGGGCGCUCGGGGGUUCCACCCCCACUUUGGGGGCGCUCGGGGAGGCACUCCCAUCUCGAGGUCCACCGCCACCUCGGGGGCACUCGGGGGACCACCCCCACCUCGGGGCGCCCGGGCCGCCAGGCUGCGCUGUCCCUUUAACUGCACCGGGCGAGGGUGUGCGGCGCAGGGCGGGGUCCUCCCGCCUCCUCCCCCACCGCUCCCUUCCCCCGCCCACCCGAGUUUCAGGUGAAGGGGUCACGGAGGGAGGAGGCGGCGCCCCGCGCUCUCCCGCCGGCGGCCACCGCCCCCUUCUCCGUCCCUGCGGGAGGCGGCGGGGCUCCGGGGUGCGGCCCGAGCGCAGGGGCCCGCGCGGCGCAACAGGUGAGGCGGACGCGGGGCCGCGCGGCUCCAGGUCGGGCGGGGCGCCGGUGCGCAUGCCCGGGGACGGGGUGGGGGGGGAGGGGAGGGGGCGGGGGCGGGGGCCGGCGAGCGCCGAAGGGCUGGCCGCAUUCCUCGGCUGGCUCCCGGCUGCGUGCGGGCCGCGCUCGGCGUCAGACCUUGCAAAUGGCGCGACCACAGGAAGAGCGUCUGCCCCAAGCAGCACCUGCGUGGGGGCCUUGGCAUUGAUUUAG